CCUACGGGAGGCAGCAGUGAGGAAUAUUGGUCAAUGGGCGCGAGCCUGAACCAGCCAAGUCGCGUGAGGGAAGACGGUGCUAAGGAUUGUAAACCUCUUUUGUCGAGGGGCAAAAUACGCCACGCGUGGCGUUCCGAGAGUACCCGAAGAAAAAGCAUCGGCUAACUCCGUGCCAGCAGCCGCGGUAAUACGGAGGAUGCGAGCGUUAUCCGGAUUUAUUGGGUUUAAAGGGUGCGCAGGCGGAAGAUUAAGUCAGCGGUAAAAUUGAGAGGCUCAACCCCGGCGAGCCGUUGAAACUGGUUUUCUUGAGAGGGUGAGAGGUAUGCGGAAUGCGUGGUGUAGCGGUGAAAUGCAUAGAUAUCGCGCAGAACUCCGAUUGCGAAGGCAGCAUACCGGCGCUCAACUGACGCUGAUGCACGAAAGUGUGGGUAUCGAACAGGAUUAGAUACCCGAGUAGUC
rnacentral:rRNA from 1 species